AAUUUGUAAGUGGAGAUAGUAGCGUAUUUGUUUAUUUUCCAAGCGAAGUAUUAACGAGUUGUAUUCCAGUCUAGUAGGUGGCGGUAAUGAAACAUGCAUUGGAUUCCAAUCGAAGAAGAAGAAGAAGAAGGAGAAGGAACAGGAACACUAGCACUGUGCUAUGAAGACGAUAGCUUUUGUGUACGUUUGAAAUGUUUACUACAGGUAUGUAAUAGCACGUUUACACUUUCUAAUAUCGAAAGAACAUGUCAUAACAUGUUAGGUAGCAAAUCCGUCAAGGUAUUGUCACGUUUGCUAAAGGUUGUAUGACCUUAUUGUUGUGUCAAACCGAGUGAGUGAAGAACGUGAUAAGUCACAUCGUUAGAGACUGGGUUUGUCUGAGUGAAUCAAUAUACAUUAUUUCGUGAAGAUAAAUUCAUAAAGAAUCUAUGUAUUUGAGAUUUCUGAGUUCGUUUUACAUGUUAUUGUUUUGUUGUGUAAUGUUUUUUUACGAGCUGAUAAAAUGGCGGCGGCAACUCUGUCUGGGUCAGUGGACUUCAGUGCAGGCAGUGCGGUUGAAUCAGAGGGACAAUUUCACGGUUGCUCUACUGUUUUGAAGCUGAGUGUAAUGAUUAUCAGUUUUCUACAUAUUCAGACACCUUCAGCUGUUUCUAUCUUAUCUAUAUUUGUUACUAUGAUGUGAAUGGUAAAUACAAAUGGUUUUUGCGAGCUAAAUCACAUUUUAUUGGUCACAUGCGCCAAAUACAAUGUGUAGACUCUACAGUGAAACGCUUACUUCCAAUAAUACAUAGUUAAAAAAUAAAGGGAAAUAUUUUCUAAAUUAAUAAAGUAAUAGUAGCACAAGGAGUACCAGUACCGAGUCAAUGUGCAGGUUGGUAAUACAGGAUGAAUCUGCAGGGUUAAUAAUUGAGGUAAUACAGGAUGAAUCUGCAGGGUUAAUUGUGGUUAUACAGGAUGAAUCUGCAGGGUUAGUUGUGGUAAUACAGGAUGAAUCUGCAGGCUUAGUUGUGGUAAUACAGGAUAAAUCUGCAGAGUUAAUUGAGGUAAUACAGGAUGAAUCUGCAGGGUUAAUUGAGGUAAUACAGGAUGAAUCUGCAGGGUUAAUUGAGGUAAUACAGGAUGAAUCUGCAGGGUUAAUUGAGGUAAUACAGGAUGAAUCUGCAGGGUUAAUUGAGGUAAUACAGGAUGAAUCUUCAGGGUUAAUUGUGGUAAUACAGGAUGAAUCUGCAGGGUUAAUUGAGGUAAUACAGGAUGAAUCUGCAGGGUUAAUUGAGGUAAUACCAUAUGUGCAUGUCACUUUCACCCCUAGCUACUAGACAAUGAGGAUGUAUAAUAAUCAGAGUAGCAGCUGUGUGUGUGUGUUGAGUGUCAGUGUAGUUUGUGUGGGUUGAGAAGUGGGUGUGCAUAGAGCCAGUGUUCAGAGGGCCCAUGUCUAAACUUGUCAGCCUCCUGAGGGGGAAGAGGCGUUGCCCUCUUCACGACUGUUGGUGUGUUUGGACCAUGAUAGGUCCUUAGUGACGUGGACACUGAGGAACUCGAAGCUCUCGACCCGCUCCACUACAUCCCGUCAAGGUGAAUGAGGGGGCAUGUUCGGCCCUCUGUUUCCUUUAGUCCUCGAUAAGCUCCUUAGUUUUGCCCAUGUUGAGGGAGAGGUUGUUGUCAUAGCACCACACUGCCAGGUCUCUGACCUACUCCCUAUAGGCUGUCUCAUCGGUGAUCAUGCCUACCACCAUUGGCUAACUUAACGAUGGUGUUGAAGUCGUGCGCUGCCACGCAGCCGUGGGUGAACAGGAAGUACAGGACCACGCACCCCUGAGAGGCCCCGUGUUAAAGGUCAGCGUGGUGAAUGUGUUUUUGCCUACCCUCACCACCUCUCGUGCGGCUCGUCAUGAAGUCCAGGAUCCAGUUGCAGAGUGAGGUGUUCAGUCCCAGGGUCCUUAGCUUAGUGAUGAGCUUGGAGGGUACUAUGGUGUUGAACGCUGAACUAUAGUCAUUGAACAUCAUUCUUACGUAGGUGUUCCUCUUGUCCAGAUGAGAAAGGGGAGUGUAAUAGAGAUUGCGUCAUCUGUGGGUCUGUUGGGGAAGUAGACAAAUUGGAGUGGGUCCAGGGUUUCUGGGAAGAUGGUGUUGAUGUGAGCCAUGACCAGCCUUUCAAAACAUUUUAUAUCUACAAAUGUGAGUGUUACAGGGCAAUAGUCAUUUAGACAGGUUACCUUAGUGUUCAUGGGCACAGGUACUAUGGUGGUUUGCUUGAAACAUGUAGGUAUACAGACUGGGUCAGGAAGAGGUUGAAAAUGUCACUGAAGACACUUGUCAGCACAUGUUCUGAGUACGCGUUAUGGUAAUCCGUCUGGCCCCGUCGACCUUGUUAAUGUUAACCUGUUUAAAGAUCCUACUGUUUAAAGGCUACGGAGAGCGUGGUCAUACAGUCAUCCAGAACAGCUGGUGCUUUCACUCAUGGUUCAGUGUUGCUUGCCUCGAAGUGAGCAUAGAACGCAUUUAGCUUGUCUGGUAGGCUUGCGUCACUGGGCAGCUCUCGGCUGGGUAUCCCUUUGUAAUCCAUAAAUCUAGUGCUGAGGGAUUAGUGCAUUUUUGAGGUCAGUUUCGGUUCAAUUAUUAAAAAAGGCUCACGGAUUUGAGUUUCAAUUAUACAUUUUUUUCUUUACAUUACAUGAAAUAAUGACAUCAAUAAUUUUAGAGCUUUUUAAUGGAAAUUGCAAAGGUGUGUGUGUGUUGGUGUCAAAUAGCUUGAGAGGGGGUUGGUCGGUACGGUUUGAUUUAUUGUUCAUAUCACACGCUCUAGCUCUCUAAACACAUGCACACACACACACGCUCGCUCGCUCUCUCUCUCUCCACACACACUCCCCCUAUAUCUACCUCUCCCAGCAGGUCAGUCCAUCUCUCUCUCUUUCUCUGUCCUCCAUCUCUCUCUCUCUUUCUCUGUCCUCCAUCCCUCUCAUUUGGAUGAUAGAUAGGGAUGGCCCAAGGCCAAAAUAGUGAACAUUCAAUUGCAAAAACAUUGAAAAUAUUCCAUUGUAUCUGUCAGGUCCAUUUUUCGGUAGACAUCAAUAGAAAAGUAGUCAAUUACUAUGACAAAAUCAAAUAUUUCAGUUGUGUAUAUUAUACUGAACAAAAUUAUAAACACAACAUGUAAAGUGUUGCUCCCAUGUUUCAUGAGCUGAAAUAAAAGAUUCCAGAAAUAUGUACAAAAAGCUUAUUACUCUCAAAUGUUGUACAGAAAUGUGUUUAUAUCCCUGUUGGUGAGCAUUUCUCCUUUGCCACGAUAAUCCAUCCACCUGACAGGUUUGGCAUAUCAAUAAGCUGAUUAAACAGCAUGAUCAUUAAACAGGUGCACCUUGUGCUGGGGAAAAUAAAAGGCCACUCUAAAAUGUACAAUUUUGUCACACAACACAAUGCCACAGAUGUCUCAAGUUUUGAUGGAGCUUGCAAUUGACAUGCUGACUGUAGGAAUGUCAGAGAAUUUAAUGUUAAUUUCUCUACCUUAAGAAAUGAACAUCGUCGUUUUAGAGAAUUUGGCAGUAUGUCCAACUGGCCUCACAACCGUAGAGCAAGUGUAACUGUGCCAGCCAAGGACCUCCACAUCUGGCUUCUUUACCUGUGGGAUCGUCUGAGACCCUCCACCCUGACAGCUGAUGAAACUGAGGAGUAUUUCUGUCUGUUCUAAUAUGCCCUUUUGUGGGGAACAACUCAUAUUGAUUUGGCUGUGCCUGGCACCCCAGUGGGUGGGCCUAUGAAAGUGUAUCCAUCUAGUGAUCUGUCGAGUCUGAAAAAACCCAUGAUGGUCAUUGUAGUUCAUUACCAAGUUUCUGUGCUAAACUAGGUUGAAUAUUUGCUUUAUGAAAACUAAAACUCUCUUUAGAACCAGCAUACCACAUAUUGGAGUUCCUGACUUUCGUUUAAUGAUUUGAUUUCUCUCUAGAGAAAUGUCACCUUGGGCUCACACACAAAAAAACUAACUGAAUAGAAUUCAAGUAAUUGAACUGACAAUUAGUUGUACAAACAAAAAAUGUAAUUGCUCAACGCUAAAUAAUACAGUGAAUAUUAUUCAGGAAAAUAGCACAUAGUGCUGCCUAAAACAUACUGUAACCUUGAACUAAAUGGUUUUUGAGUCAUUCAUUUUAAUGUAGGAAAUCUACUAUAGGUUAAGUGUAAUUUAAACUGUGCACUUUGUUUAAUGUGAAUUCAUGUUUUAUUGUCAAUGAUUAGUUACCUGAUAUAUGGAAAUGAGAGAAAUUAACAAGAAAACAUUUUAAUAUAUUUUGUUAUAAUAAAGAGAGUGCCAGAACUGUCAAGACAAUAACUUUUCUGUCUCUCUCCUUCCACACUGAGUCCAAACCUACAGUCACUGGGUCCUGAUUGUGACAGUGGAGCCCAGUUUGUACUGCAGGAUCCAGAGAUGGCAUCAGUGAAGCUUGAAGACUGCAGUCAAACACUGGAGCUGAAUGUCAACAUUAAAGAUGAAGAAGAGGAGGAGAAGAUUGGGAAAUCUGUUUCUCAUGCCAGAAGAGGAUUGACCACCCCUCAGAGCCUGGUUCCUCUCUAGGAGACCAUGUUGAGACAUUCUCUACAUCCAGAGAGCAACAGCAGGAAGAUCACAGAGCUAAGAGGUCUCACCACUGCCCACAUUGUGUGGAGAUUUUCCCAUUUCUAUCAAAGCUAAAAAUACACCUACAAAUACACACAGGAGAGAAGCCUUACUCCUGCUCUGUGGAAGGGUGGGCGUGUAACUCAAACAUCUAGCCAAAGGCUGCGUGUUUGAAUCUCAUCACGGAGGACUUAAGUAUUUCAGCUAAUUAGCAACUUUGCAACUACUUACUACUUUUGAGCUGUUACUGAGCAUUUUAGCUUAGCAUGCAACUACUUAGCAUCGUAGCUAACCUUUCCCCUAAACCCAUUUAACUCUACCUUAAACCCCUCACCCCUAACCUAGCUAACGUUAGCAACAACAAAUUGGAAUUCAUAACAUAUCAUACAUAUUACAAGUUCGUAAAAUAUUGUAUGAAUAGCAAUGCGUAAAAUAACAUGCGAAUUGUAAUUCGUAACGUACGAUACGCAACAAUUUCAAAGAUUUACAGUUUGUGUGUGUGUGUGUUUGUUUGUGUGUGUGAUUUACAGUUUGUAUAAGGAUAUCAGUCAAUUGAAAUAAAUAAAUGAGGACCAAAUCUAUGGAUUUCACAUGACUGGGCAGGGGCUCAGCCAUAGGUGGGACUUGGGAGGGCAUAGUCCCACUUGGGAGCCAGGCCCAGCCAAUCAGAAUGAGUUUUUCACCACAAAAGGUCUUUAUUACAGACAGAAAUACUACUCAGCCCCCCCCCCCAGACAAUCCUGCAGGUGAAGAGGUCCUGGGCUGCCGUGGUUACAUGUGAUCUGCAGUUGUGAGGCCAGUUGUAUGUACUGCCAAAUUCUGUAAAAGGACGUUACAGGUGGCUUAUGGUGGAGAUAUAAAUAUUGAGUUCUCUGGCAACAGCUAUGGUGGACAUUCCUGCAGUCAUCAUGACAAUUGCACAUUCCCUCAACUUGAGACAUCUGUGACAUUGUGUUGUGUGGCCUUUUAUUGUCCCCAGCACAAGGUGCACCUGUGUAAUGAUCAUGCUGUUUUAUCAGCUUCUUGAUAUGCCACACCUGUCAGGUGGAUGGAUUAUCUUGACAAAGGCUGAAAUGCUCACUAACAGGGAUAUAAACAAAUUUGUGCACAACAUUUGAGAGAAAUAAGAUUUUUGUGCAUAUGGAACAUUUAUGGAAUUUUUUAUUUCCGCUCAUGAAACCAACACUAUACAUGUUUUGUUUAUAUUUUAGUUCAGUUUAUAUUGGUAGGCCAAUGUAAUGUAAUGUAAUGUAACCUAACAUGGUAAAUGGAGUGGCAUGGAUAUAACAUAUAAUACAUUUUGUUUGAGACCAGGUUGUCCCUCUGCAGUAUUCUGUGGGAAUGAGCAAGUAGACACUCUUUUUAUUUUUUAUUGAACCUUUAUUUAACUAGGCAAGUCAGUUAAGAACAAAUUCUUAUUUACAAUGAUGGCCUAGGAACAGUGGAUUAACUGCCUUGUUCAGAGGCUGAAUGACAGAUUUUUAACUUCUCAGCUCGGGGAUUCGAUCUAGCAACCUUGUGGUUACUGGCCCAACGCUCCAACCACUAGGCUACCUUCCAUCCCUAACACGUAUCAGAUAGAGAUGGUGUGAUGAUCACUUUUCACCACUAGUUUGGGGGGAUUAUUUUACAACUUGAUUUAAUGAUACACAGCUUAUGAAAUGAAUACAUGUGUUUAUUAAUUGUCUUUAAAACUAGAUUAGUUAUUUUAGUUACUGAUCAUGAAUGUGUUUGGAUAACUGCAUUGAAGCAAACUUUAUUGAUCUGCCAAUGAAAAAUAAAGUUACAUGAAUAUGUA